CCUACGGGGGGCUGCAGUGAGGAAUAUUGGUCAAUGGGCGAGAGCCUGAACCAGCCAAGUAGCGUGAAGGAUGACUGCCCUAUGGGUUGUAAACUUCUUUUAUAUGGGAAUAAAAUGUUCCACGUGUGGGAUUUUGUAUGUACCAUAUGAAUAAGGAUCGGCUAACUCCGUGCCAGCAGCCGCGGUAAUACGGAGGAUCCGAGCGUUAUCCGGAUUUAUUGGGGUUAAGGGGAGCGUAGGUGGAUUGUUAAGUCAGUUGUGAAAGUUUGCGGCUCAACCGUAAAAUUGCAGUUGAAACUGGCAGUCUUGAGUACAGUAGAGGUGGGCGGAAUUCGUGGUGUAGCGGUGAAAUGCUUAGAUAUCACGAAGAACUCCGAUUGCGAAGGCAGCUCACUGGACUGCAACUGACACUGAGGCUCGAAAGUGUGGGUAUCAAACAGGAUUAGAUACCCUUGUAGUC
rnacentral:rRNA from 1 species